UUAGUUUUUGUCUCAGCUCUACGUUUUUGGGUGAGAUUUAGUAGAUAAUACAACAUAAUAUACGUUUGGUCUAGGUAUAAAAGGUCUUGGUGCUGGGUUCUGCAUGUUAUUGUUUUAUUCAUGUCUGGUCAAUUUGGUACUUAUUUGUUGGGUUUGUGUGAAAGAUUGUUGGGUAUACGUCUGAUUUAGUGUUUUUGUGACAGAUUCUUGGGUGUGUGGCUGAUUUGGGCGAAGAGAAGGAGGGUGAUUUUGGAGGAAACGGGAGAGGAGUUUCUACAUGACUGAAGGGAAUAAGGCUUGAAGCUUUACAAACAUUGCAGCUUGGGUAAACAUACUAUUUUAAUAGUCGAGUGUGUCUAGAUGCUACAACAAUAUGGGAAUGUCAUCCACUAGAAACUCAGUUUCUAGAUUGAGAAUAUUUUGCACCGGCCAAGGGAAGGCAGCAUUGAACCAGCAUUAUCAUCCAUGGAGACCUUCAGCAAAGAGCAAAGAGA